UCUCCGUUGGUGAGCCAGCGGAGGGAUCAUUACAGGACUCGCAAGACUCCUACAACCCUUUUAACUUAACUAUACGCACGUUUCUUCUGCGGGUGUCUCGGAUCGGGUUCUCCCUCCCCGAGACGCUACACCCGCCGGCCGCUUACUAUACUCUUUCUCUUUGCGUUUGCAUCUCGAGUACAAUCAAACAAGUUAAAACUUUCAACAACGGAUCUCUUGGUUCUG
rnacentral:misc_RNA from 1 species